rnacentral:lncRNA from 1 species
GGGCUCUGGAGACAAGGGAGUAGGCGGUGGUGCGCCAGGGGCGGGCUCCCCCAGCCUGGCCACCAAUCCAGGGUCCCGCCGGGGAUGCGAGGGGCGGGGCUGACGUGGGGCGCCAAGGCUUAAACGUGACGGGCAGGAGGGCGUAAGGAGGAGUCCGGAGCAGGGAGCGGAGAGUGACAGGCGACGCUGUCCAAUAACAGGAGGGGUUGGGCUGCUUGAGCCAAUAGAAAGUCCGUAAGGCGGGACGAGGACUGCAGCAAGUUCGGUUGCGCGGAGACCGCAGCUGUUCCCUGUCAGUGGAGGCAGCGGCUGUAGAGGCGGUGGCGACGACUUGCGGCGGCAGCGAGGAGGUAGCACCUGCCUUCCGAGAGCUGACAGAACGCUGAGGGUAAGUCCUGGGCCUGGAUCCAGGUCAGUGGGAUGCAUGUGGGUCGCCUUCAGGAGCAUCUGCUGUAGAGCUUAGCAGCCUGGCUCGUCAGUUCCGGAGCACAAUAAAUAAAAAAGGGCCAAGCUCUGAUUUCUGGAAAAUAUAAGCCGUCUUUGUCUGUUCCCAACUCUCUUGCUUGUCUGGGUUUUCACGGGAAAGCAGUUGGCCAGCCUCAGCAGGAGGCCCUACUUCUGGAAGGGCCUCGCCUAUAGGGGGUGAGGGCUGGGCCCCCCCCCAGGUCCGCAAGAAGCAUCUGCAGGGCAGGGCGGCCUCUGAGAAGACCCCUUGAGUCAGUGUGGAGAGCAGGCCGCUGGGCUCAGGAAGUGGCUCUGUCCACUGGCUGGGAGAGCACUUGACCCGCGUGCCAGACAGUGACGCUCAGCCUUGGGAGUCACGGUGACGAAGGGCUGAAGGCUGACUUGUCCCUCCUUCCCCGACAUAGCUUGUUCUGUGUGCCAGUGCUGCCCUGUAAACCUCCUGUGCUAAGGUCUCCCCUCGCACAGGAAACUCUGCUGAUCGCGCUGAGCCCAGGGCAUCUCAGCCUGAAUGCCAAGCGAGGCGCUCGUGACCGGUGUCCACCCGAAGGUCCCGUCUGUCUCUGGCGGCUGGCUGGGGAGAGCGUCCCAGCUGGACAUGAUGCUGGCUCUGUCUCGUGUCCCGCCUGCAUUUCAGACACUGAUCCGCUCUUCCCUCCACCACAGGCAGGCCAGCUGCUACCCCCGGUUCACAGCCAGGUGCCCUGGGAACUGUGUGGCUCGGGGACAACUGCCCAGAGCUCAGGUCCAGUGCUCAGCAUGAGGACUCCUUUGUUUGGGGAUUUUUCUCGGGUGACCCCUCCGGAGCCAGAAGCCGUUUUCCUCUCCGAGAUGUUCCAUCGCCCUUGCUUGUCCCAGGUCUUGGGCCAGCAGUGGCCGUCUUCCACUCUGGGAGCCAGAGAAGCAGGAGGGGGGCUGGGAUGCCAAGGCCGCUCGCGUACGUUUCCACCAGCUGUAUGUGGAAUGGGGCCAGACUCCACAUGUGGCAGCUCCUCUCCUGACCGACAUCCGUCCCCGCCUGAGGCCUCGGGAAAAUUCCAUGAUGUGGCUGUGCUGAGUCAUGCUUAG